rnacentral:rRNA from 1 species
GAUGAACGCUGGCGGCGUGCCUAAUACAUGCAAGUCGAGCGAAUGGAUUAAGAGCUUGCUCUUAUGAAGUUAGCGGCGGACGGGUGAGUAACACGUGGGUAACCUGCCCAUAAGACUGGGAUAACUCCGGGAAACCGGGGCUAAUACCGGAUAACAUUUUGAACCGCAUGGUUCGAAAUUGAAAGGCGGCUUCGGCUGUCACUUAUGGAUGGACCCGCGUCGCAUUAGCUAGUUGGUGAGGUAACGGCUCACCAAGGCAACGAUGCGUAGCCGACCUGAGAGGGUGAUCGGCCACACUGGGACUGAGACACGGCCCAGACUCCUACGGAAGGCAGCAGUAGGGAACCUUCCGCAAUGGACGAAAGUCUGACGGAGCAACGCCGCGUGAGUGAGGAAGGCUUUCGGGUCGUAAAACCCUGUUGUUAGGGAAGAACAAGUGCUAGUUGAAUAAGCUGGCACCUUGACGGUACCUAACCAGAAAGCCACGGCUAACUACGUGCCAGCCGCCGCAGUAA